UCGACCCUGGGGUAUGCGUCAGACCGCAAGAUCCCUGAGCCGAUGCUUUUUACCCAGGCCGUUUCCAGCCGUUGCUGUUGUGCAUGCCCGCUUGACGGGAAGCCUGAUGCAACGCGGGGACUGCCACCUUGAACCUCUGGGUUCAAGGGUCACGCGGCCAACGGUACCACCGGGGUUUUU
rnacentral:other from 1 species